rnacentral:rRNA from 1 species
GGGUUGUGAGGUUAAGCGACUAAGCGUACACGGUGGAUGCCCUGGCAGUCAGAGGCGAUGAAGGACGUGCUAAUCUGCGAUAAGCGUCGGUAAGGUGAUAUGAACCGUUAUAACCGGCGAUUUCCGAAUGGGGAAACCCAGUGUGAUUCGUCACACUAUCAUUAACUGAAUCCAUAGGUUAAUGAGGCGAACCGGGGGAACUGAAACAUCUAAGUACCCCGAGGAAAAGAAAUCAACCGAGAUUCCCCCAGUAGCGGCGAGCGAACGGGGAGCAGCCCAGAGCCUGAAUCAGUGUGUGUGUUAGUGGAAGCGUCUGGAAAGGCGUGCGAUACAGGGUGACAGCCCCGUACACAAAAAUGCACAUAUUGUGAGCUCGAUGAGUAGGGCGGGACACGUGGUAUCCUGUCUGAAUAUGGGGGGACCAUCCUCCAAGGCUAAAUACUCCUGACUGACCGAUAGUGAACCAGUACCGUGAGGGAAAGGCGAAAAGAACCCCGGCGAGGGGAGUGAAAAAGAACCUGAAACCGUGUACGUACAAGCAGUGGGAGCACGCUUAGGCGUGUGACUGCGUACCUUUUGUAUAAUGGGUCAGCGACUUAUAUUCUGUAGCAAGGUUAACCGAAUAGGGGAGCCGAAGGGAAACCGAGUCUUAACUGGGCGUUAAGUUGCAGGGUAUAGACCCGAAACCCGGUGAUCUAGCCAUGGGCAGGUUGAAGGUUGGGUAACACUAACUGGAGGACCGAACCGACUAAUGUUGAAAAAUUAGCGGAUGACUUGUGGCUGGGGGUGAAAGGCCAAUCAAACCGGGAGAUAGCUGGUUCUCCCCGAAAGCUAUUUAGGUAGCGCCUCGUGAAUUCAUCUCCGGGGGUAGAGCACUGUUUCGGCAAGGGGGUCAUCCCGACUUACCAACCCGAUGCAAACUGCGAAUACCGGAGAAUGUUAUCACGGGAGACACACGGCGGGUGCUAACGUCCGUCGUGAAGAGGGAAACAACCCAGACCGCCAGCUAAGGUCCCAAAGUCAUGGUUAAGUGGGAAACGAUGUGGGAAGGCCCAGACAGCCAGGAUGUUGGCUUAGAAGCAGCCAUCAUUUAAAGAAAGCGUAAUAGCUCACUGGUCGAGUCGGCCUGCGCGGAAGAUGUAACGGGGCUAAACCAUGCACCGAAGCUGCGGCAGCGACGCUGAUGCGUUGUUGGGUAGGGGAGCGUUCUGUAAGCCUGCGAAGGUGUGCUGUGAGGCAUGCUGGAGGUAUCAGAAGUGCGAAUGCUGACAUAAGUAACGAUAAAGCGGGUGAAAAGCCCGCUCGCCGGAAGACCAAGGGUUCCUGUCCAACGUUAAUCGGGGCAGGGUGAGUCGACCCCUAAGGCAAGGCCGAAAGGCGUAGUCGAUGGGAAACAGGUUAAUAUUCCUGUACUUGGUGUUACUGCGAAGGGGGGACGGAGAAGGCUAUGUUGGCCGGGCGACGGUUGUCCCGGUUUAAGCGUGUAGGCUGGUUUUCCAGGCAAAUCCGGAAAAUCAAGGCUGAGGCGUGAUGACGAGGCACUACGGUGCUGAAGCAACAAAUGCCCUGCUUCCAGGAAAAGCCUCUAAGCAUCAGGUAACAUCAAAUCGUACCCCAAACCGACACAGGUGGUCAGGUAGAGAAUACCAAGGCGCUUGAGAGAACUCGGGUGAAGGAACUAGGCAAAAUGGUGCCGUAACUUCGGGAGAAGGCACGCUGAUAUGUAGGUGAAGUCCCUCGCGGAUGGAGCUGAAAUCAGUCGAAGAUACCAGCUGGCUGCAACUGUUUAUUAAAAACACAGCACUGUGCAAACACGAAAGUGGACGUAUACGGUGUGACGCCUGCCCGGUGCCGGAAGGUUAAUUGAUGGGGUCAGCGCAAGCGAAGCUCUUGAUCGAAGCCCCGGUAAACGGCGGCCGUAACUAUAACGGUCCUAAGGUAGCGAAAUUCCUUGUCGGGUAAGUUCCGACCUGCACGAAUGGCGUAAUGAUGGCCAGGCUGUCUCCACCCGAGACUCAGUGAAAUUGAACUCGCUGUGAAGAUGCAGUGUACCCGCGGCAAGACGGAAAGACCCCGUGAACCUUUACUAUAGCUUGACACUGAACAUUGAGCCUUGAUGUGUAGGAUAGGUGGGAGGCUUUGAAGUGUGGACGCCAGUCUGCAUGGAGCCGACCUUGAAAUACCACCCUUUAAUGUUUGAUGUUCUAACGUUGACCCGUAAUCCGGGUUGCGGACAGUGUCUGGUGGGUAGUUUGACUGGGGCGGUCUCCUCCUAAAGAGUAACGGAGGAGCACGAAGGUUGGCUAAUCCUGGUCGGACAUCAGGAGGUUAGUGCAAUGGCAUAAGCCAGCUUGACUGCGAGCGUGACGGCGCGAGCAGGUGCGAAAGCAGGUCAUAGUGAUCCGGUGGUUCUGAAUGGAAGGGCCAUCGCUCAACGGAUAAAAGGUACUCCGGGGAUAACAGGCUGAUACCGCCCAAGAGUUCAUAUCGACGGCGGUGUUUGGCACCUCGAUGUCGGCUCAUCACAUCCUGGGGCUGAAGUAGGUCCCAAGGGUAUGGCUGUUCGCCAUUUAAAGUGGUACGCGAGCUGGGUUUAGAACGUCGUGAGACAGUUCGGUCCCUAUCUGCCGUGGGCGCUGGAGAAUUGAGGGGGGCUGCUCCUAGUACGAGAGGACCGGAGUGGACGCAUCACUGGUGUUCGGGUUGUCAUGCCAAUGGCACUGCCCGGUAGCUAAAUGCGGAAGAGAUAAGUGCUGAAAGCAUCUAAGCACGAAACUUGCCCCGAGAUGAGUUCUCCCUGACUCCUUGAGAGUCCUGAAGGAACGUUGAAGACGACGACGUUGAUAGGCCGGGUGUGUAAGCGCAGCGAUGCGUUGAGCUAACCGGUACUAAUGAACCGUGAGGCUUAACCUUACAACGCCGAAG